rnacentral:rRNA from 1 species
UACAUGUGGGGCAAGCGUUGUUCGGAAUUACUGGGCAUAAAGGGUGCGUAGGUGGCUUGUUAAGUCAGGGGUGAAAGUUUUCGGCCCAACCGGAAAAUGGCCUUUGAUACUGGCGAGCUCGAGUGCGUGAGGGGUAACCGGAACGAGCAGUGUAGCGGUGAAAUGCGUAGAUAUUGCGCGGAAGGCCAACGGCGAAGGCAGGUUACUGGUACGCAACUGACACUGAGGCACGAAAGCGUGGGGAGCAAACAGG